rnacentral:rRNA from 1 species
AUUGAACGCUGGCGGAAUGCUUUACACAUGCAAGUCGAACGGCAGCACGGACUUCGGUCUGGUGGCGAGUGGCGAACGGGUGAGUAAUGUAUCGGAACGUGCCCAGUCGCGGGGGAUAACGUAGUGAAAAUUACGCUAAUACCGCAUACGCCCUACGGGGGAAAGCUGGGGACCUUCGGGCCUGGCGUUAAUGGAGCGGCCGAUAUCUGAUUAGCUAGUUGGUGAGGUAAAGGCUCACCAAGGCGACGAUCAGUAGCUGGUCUGAGAGGACGACCAGCCACACUGGAACUGAGACACGGUCCAGACUCCUACGGGGGGCAGCAGUGGGGAAUUUUGGACAAUGGGCGCAAGCCUGAUCCAGCCAUUCCGCGUGAGUGAAGAAGGCCUUCGGGUUGUAAAGCUCUUUCGCAAGGGAAGAAAACUUAGCCACUAACAUUGGUUGAGGUUGACGGUACCUUGAUAAGAAGCACCGGCUAACUACGUGCCAGCAGCCGCCGUAA